rnacentral:rRNA from 1 species
UACGUAGGGUGCAAGCGUUAAUCGGAAUUACUGGGCGUAAAGCGUGCGCAGGCGGUGAUGUAAGGCAGAUGUGAAAUCCCCGGGCUCAACCUGGGAACUGCAUUUGUGACUGCAUCGCUGGAGUACGGCAGAGGGGGAUGGAAUUCCGCGUGUAGCAGUGAAAUGCGUAGAUAUCCGAAGGAACAUCAGUGGCGAAAGCGGCUUCCUGGACCAGAACUGACGAUCAGGCUCGAAAGCGUGGGGAGCAAACAGG